CCGGUAUUGCAUGCUUUACCUGCAUGUACUGUAUGGGAGUAAUGGAAGAGAAGAAAUAAUUUGAAAUAUGGAGAAGCAGUGUCAGUAUCAAGAAUUAUUUACCAGGUUUCAUCUUCGAUGCAAGCUCUACUCCAGUUGAAAAAACCAGGAUUACAUAUACCUCACAAGUGGCUCGACUUACUUACAAUGAUGGAGAAAUUCACACCUCGACUGAAGUACGAGAAAGUGCUAUGGGAAUUUCCUCCUAGAGGAUGGCUCAAAGUGAAUACAGAUGGAGCAUGCAGAGGGAACACAGGGAGGAGUUCUAUUGGGUUUUGUUUAAGAGAUGAGAUAGGUUAUUUGAUAUAUGCAGAAGGAAGAGGAAUUAAGGAGGGUUCUAACAAUGAAGCUGAGGCAACAGGAAUAUUAGAGGCAAUGAGAAUGUGCAAAUCAAUGAACCUCAACAAUAUUUUGCUUCAGUCAGAUUCACUGAUGCUUCAAAUGAUCAUAGAUGGACAAUUGAGACCACCAUGGAAUAUUGUAGAUGCGGUGGAGGAAAUCAACAUACUCAAAACGGGGUGUAAUUUCAAUGUAUCUCAUAUUUUUAGAGAGGGAAACAAUCUAGCAGACCACCUUGCAAAUCAUGCUCUCGACUGUGGUAACAUCGAGUGUUUUCAUUUUUGGGAACUAGAUGUCUUGAGCAUGAGGAUUGUUAAUGAUGAUAAGUUACAGUUUACAAAAUUGAGAAUAAGAGUUGCAAGAAAUUAGGGAAGGAAAUGGAAGGCGCUAAGGGAAACAUGGGGAUAAUCCCUACUGUUUUUUUCCAUUUUUUAGGUAAAUCAUUUGUGCUGCUGUUUGUUUGUUUUCAAGCAAUUUUCAGUGGUGGUAUUAAUGCAAUGCAUUCAUCCCACUGGAAGUAACUUGCAGAUGGACAAUGGUACAAACCAUGAAAGCAACAACAAACAAGGAAACAUUGUUUCUUUUAUCAAGUGGAAAUGUACAGCUGCAGUGUAACAUCUCCUGCGUAAUUUUGGAUUUGCAACACAAUAACAUUAGUGUUAUUCACAUGCCUAGGAUGGAGGAACAAAAGUCGAGACGUGGACUCAAUUCACGCCAGACCAUGCGUGUUUUUUGGAUGGAUCCCCAACCAACAAGCACGCUGC
rnacentral:lncRNA from 1 species